rnacentral:tRNA from 1 species
CGGGCCGUAGCGCAGACUGGUAGCGCGUUUGCUUGGGGUGCAAAAGGUCGCUGGUUCAAAUCCAGUCGGCCCGACCA